rnacentral:rRNA from 1 species
UACGUAGGGUGCGAGCGUUAAUCGGAAUUACUGGGCGUAAAGCGUGCGCAGGCGGCGCGUUAAGACAGGUGUGAAAGCCCCGAGCUUAACUUGGGAAUUGCGCUUGUGACUUGCGUGCUGGAGUGUGGCAGAGGGAGGUGGAAUUCCACGUGUAGCAGUGAAAUGCGUAGAGAUGUGGAGGAACACCGAUGGCGAAGGCAGCCUCCUGGGCCAGCACUGACGCUCAUGCACGAAAGCGUGGGGAGCAAACAGG